rnacentral:rRNA from 1 species
UACGAAGGGGGCUAGCGUUGUUCGGAUUUACUGGGCGUAAAGGGCGCGUAGGCGGAUUUUUAAGUCAGGGGUGAAAUCCCAAGGCUCAACCUUGGAACUGCCUUUGAUACUGGGGAUCUUGAGUCCGGGAGAGGUGAGUGGAACUGCGAGUGUAGAGGUGAAAUUCGUAGAUAUCGGGAAGAACACCCGUGGCGAAGGCGGCUCUCUGGGACGGUACUGACGCUGAGACGCGAAAGCGUGGGGAGCGAACAGG